UACGUAGGGUGCAAGCGUUGUCCGGAAUUAUUGGGCGUAAAGAGCUCGUAGGCGGCUUGUCGCGUCGGCUGUGAAACCCUGGGGCUCAACCCCGGGCCUGCAGCCGAUACGGGCAAGCUAGAAUUCGGUAGGGGAGACUGGAAUUCCUGGUGUAGCGGUGAAAUGCGCAGAUAUCGGGAGGAACACCAAUGGCGAAGGCAGCUCGCUGGGACGUUACUGACGCUGAGACGCGAAAGCGUGGGGAGCAAACAGG
rnacentral:rRNA from 1 species